AAACAUCACUUGCUCUAUGUCCUGUCUCUCUGUCUAACCCUGAGCCACCCAAUUCUGCUUUUUCUAGGAGUUCUGAAAACACUAAAUAAUACUGUUUCAGUAUGUUAGCUAACAGAAUGUACAGAUAUCUUAAAAAUCAGAAAUCAGAUAGGAUGUUUUCAAGUGGGGCUUUAGAAGGAAGGUUUCAAUGCUGGCAAUUAAGUUACAGGCCCCGAAUGGGGAAGGUGUGAGGUCCCGCACCUUUUCCCUAUUUUCCAGCUCAGGGUCAAUCUAGUCUUUCUCACGCACUUCCUGUCAAUAUUACUAAAUGAUUGCCCUCACUUCAGAAGUCAAUGGCAAGUUACCCACACUUCUUUCUGACUUGGCUGUGAAUUAGGGCUUCCCACAACCCCCUCUUCAGGAGCAUGCUUGUCUGGCUGCCCAUCACAUGGAGGUCUCAAAGCAACGGAGCUCCGUUCCCGUCACCUCUCCAGAGUCUCCAUGUCCCUCCUCCACAGCCGAGCGGUCACAGGGCUGGCCUCAGGGAGCCACACAGCCCUGGGUUUCCUGGACAGCUGUGAAGAAGGAGCUCAUCAGGCUUCACAGCCAGGACCCUGGGGGAGCUGUUACGAGCACACCCAAGAACAAGCUCUCUCAGCAAUUUUCACUUACAGCAGCAAGGAGUCAGUUGGGAAAACACAUCUUCUUGGAAGGAGUUCUCAGCUUCUGAUUCCUCUCUUCUCAGCCCUUCACACACUCCCUGUCACAGUAAGAUAUUUCAAAAGCCAACCAAGAGGAUAUGGAGUCUGGAAUCUUGCUCAAACAAUCCUAGAAGGUGCCAGAAGCUUCUUUCUCCAAGAGGCCGCCACUUUGACUGCAGCCCCAAAUGAAUCUUCCUCAGAACUGUUUGUGAAAGUGGUUGCCGGCUGCCUGCUCCGGCCCCCCUUCUACAGCCGUGCCUCUCACCCCAUGCCCGCAGCCACAGCAGGCCGCUGCACCCGGGGUCCAGCUCCGGCCCUUACUGAGCCUUCAGAUCUCAGCUUAUGCCUCGGCUCCUCCAAAAGGUGGGCUGCCCUCAUCUCCUCCUCUCAGAAGGUCCCCUUUCCCCUAAAGUGGCAAGUCAAUGACAAAACCCCAGUGAGGCUCUCUCCCUACAUUUUGCCUCAUAGUGCAUAUUCUUCAUAUGACUAAAAUACCAUUUAAAGAGUGUCUGCUGUGUGCUAGACUGCUCAAUGCUGUACACAUAUGAUCUCCUUUAUUAUUCACCAGCAAAGUUUUAAGAGUGAUAUUCUAUCCCCAUUUAUGAAUCAAGAAGCUGAGAGUCCGGGAGAUUAAGUCCGUUGUCUGAGAUCUCAGACUCUUGAGAGAGUGGGGCCAGCACUCCUAACCAGUCGCUCUCGGCACCUGGAGUCCUCGAGGCGCCUUCAGCCAUCAUGUUCCACCUGCUGAAUGGAAUUUCCUUCCAGGGCCUGUCCCUAGGGCGUUGCCCCCACAGGGAGACUAGAGGUUCAGUCCAGACUUUCCUGGCCCCACCCUGAGCCACCCGCAGCCACCCUGAGGUAGGGGAGUUACUUCGCCUCUGUCCGUACAGGUUUUAUAAAUGUUCUAAACAACAAGGGGAAAAAGCAGCCAGUUCUUCCUCCACCUGCAUCCCAAAGCGGGAAGCCGCUGUUCAUGAGGCCUUCCUUGCACGAUGGACACUACCCGGAGCCGAGCUCUGGGCCCGCCCCCACCCUGGGCCGCCUCCUUCCUCCCAAGGAACGAUGCGGUGCGGUUCCCUGGGAGGGAAGGCUGCUGAAGAAAAUCAGGUUGACAUUCCUCCUGCGGCCUGCCAGAGACUCACGGCCUGAAGGAAGGAGGCGGUGUGUGCUGUAUGGUAGAAAGAGCAUGGGACUUGAUAUAAUAAUAUCUGAUUUCAAAUUUUGUCUCCACCAUGACAUUUAAUGUCUCUGACCAGACAGUAAACUCUCUGAGCUUCCGUUUUUGCUAUUUGUUUACUGAGUGGGGAUGGAAGGUUGCUGUAAGCAUUAAACUGGACAAAAUCGUGCAUGCAAGGACCUGGCCCAGACCAGCACCCCCCAGUACAUAGUUGUACAUUCUUCGUUGUGGGUCCUUCUAGUUGUGGCAUGUGGGACGCUGCCUCAGCGUGGUUUGAUGAGCAGUGCCAUGUCCGCGCCCAGGAUUCGAACCAACGAAACAUUGGGCCGCCUGCAGCGGAGCGCGCGGACUUAACCACUCGGCCACGGGGCCAGCCCUAAGAGGAGGUGGGUUUGUUUUUGAAAGCGCUUCCUGAUAUUCCCGGAGGCCUGCGGGGAGCGUCUGCGGUGAAGUUCAGUGUUGUCUGAAGCUUUCUAAGGCACAGCUCCGCUCAGGUGUGUCCACUGCCCCAAAACCUAUAAUAAAUAACAACGACAACAACAUCGACAACAAUAAUAACAGUGGUCAGCCACUGAGAACUUCCUGUGUGAUGAGCUCCGUACAGAUCUGCUCUCUCAUCCUCACACCCACUCUGAGUUAGCAUUCUUACACCCAUUUUAUAAUUGAGGAAACGGAGAGUUAAGGAUUAAGCAACUUGCCCAAAAUUAUGCAGUGUAGGGGCCACAUGUGUGUGCCUCUUAGAUUCUGACCACAGGAGCAUUGCUCACGGACAGCCCAGCUGCCGCCCUGAAAUCCGUCUCCACGAGGCCAUGCUUUCCAUGAGCCGCUCCCCGCCAGCAGCUGAGCCCGAAGAGGUGCGGGAGACAGGCAGCCGCAGCUUUGCUCUGGUAGGUGGGCGACUGUGGCUCGGGAUCCCCGACUGCCUUGCUGAACUCCCAGAACCCCAUUGCACCGUGAGAUGCUACCUUGGCCUCCCUUCCUUCCCGCCUCCUUCACCCGGGCUCACACUGCUUCAUGGUCUGACUGCUCUGCCAGCCUCCCCUGGCUCCCGCUCCGUGUUUCCUCACCCGCAUUCCCGGAGAAAUCUCAUGCACAGCUAAUCCCAUCUUGGCAUCGCUUUUGAAGGACCAGGAGGAACGCACACAGCUAAAAACCAGUAGUUUGAAGGCCUUCUGGUUGAACCCCAGUAUCAGUUCUUCCUUCCACACUAAUGGAACUUGAGCCUGCCUCCCAGAGUAGUCUGCAUUCCCAGCCUCACUUGCACCUGCCUGUAGCCUCAAGCUAAGAUCUGGCUGUAGGAUCUGAAUGCAGCUGGUCUGAGGGACUUCUGGGUUGUGUCCCUAAACCCUGGAUGUGUUGGCCUGUCAUGAACCCCGUGAAGCAGGGGACACCUCAGGGAGAGCAAAGCACAGAAAGAGCCCGGGCCUCUGGCAGCUCUGCAGAGCAGAGCUGCAUGCCUGCAAGGACUUCUACACCAGAGGGAAAGACUGGCAUCUUGUUUAAAUCACUGUUACUUUGAGCAUCUGUUACAUUUACACAGCCGAACCCAAUAUCCCAACCCACUCAGAUUUGAAUCUAGGCUUAGUGUCAAAGCUUUGGAUUUUAAAGGGACUCCAAAGUCACAUCAUUUGUGGAAGGGAUCCCAGCAUGGAGGGAGGUAAUUGGCAAGAGGCAGGAAGUAUAAUGGUCAAGAGCCACUGUGAAUGGGCCUCAGGCGGUGCCGGCACAAAGGAAGCACUGGUAGCUUGCACAUGGUAGCUGUCAUUACUAUUACUGUUACCAUCGUUGUUAUUGAAGUCAUUUAAGCAGGGGCAUAACCAGAUGAGCAGGAAUGUGGAGCACUGUCUGCCACGGUCUGAAAGCCUGAACUAAGGCAGAGAAAUACUUUACAUAAGUUGUGGAGCAAUAAGUUGACAAGAUAGCAGGAAAAAGUUCAACCCCAAAUCAGUGGAGGUGCUUUUCCCGCCCCACAGGUGAAAGCCCCUAGUCUGUGCACCAAGCAUCAACUGCCCGUGGGCUUGAAGGGCUAGGGAAACGGAAUCAGCCGCCGUGGUUGAGUGGUUGAGUGGUUUGGGCCAGGCAUCGCCACCCCGCAUCCCGAGCACGGUGGGGUUAGGGAGGGCUUCUCGUGGAUACCAGGCCCAUGGGAGGAUCCUGGGAGUCAGCUCUUCCCCUCCCUCAUCCUGGGUGCAGCUAGAGGUAGGGGCUCGGCACAUCUGACCCGCCAACCCUGCUGGAGUGACCGGAGGACAGGAUGGAACCGGCUCCUCAGCCCAGCCUCAAGAGUCUUCACAGCCUGGGGCACCCCACUUUCACACUCAGCCUGGUGGACUUCUCACCAUCGCCUCGAACCCCACCCUUGUAACUGUGCUGUUCUCUCGAGGCUUUCCCUCCAUCUCCCUCUGGCCAGCUCCUAUUCACGCUGCAAUGCCCAGAAGCCUGCGAGAUGGUCGGCACGGGGAAGCGUUCAAUAACUGUCCGAUGGAUGAACGAAGACUCAGGCCACUCAUCCACAAGCCCAAAGUGGUCGAGAGUGGAGCAGUCUACCCACGUGCUCUUGCAGAAAAUGACAGGGAAUCAUCCAAGGACACUUGUGACAGGUGAGGACUGUCCCUGUGGAGAGGGGCCGUGGGGACAGGAUCGACGGGCGACUUCUGGGAGCUGAGUGCCAGGGCUGUGGGCACGUCAGCUCAAGAGCGCCCUGCUGUCAGCAUCCCCCGUGACAGAGCUGAGCCCGCUCUAGUGACGCAAUGUCAUCCAUCCCUUACACCCAAGCGGGUCUUUUACUUUAGCUAAUGCUGCAGUGAUAGUGCAGAUGGGGAAACUGAGGCCCCAGAGCUGAAGAACCAAAUUACCCGGUUCUAAAGGAGGAGUUUCCGACUUUCUGCUCUGCACGUGGGCCAUGAACCUCUGUGCACUUGUGAAGAAUAUUCUGGACUUGGAGUGAGAAUAUCUGGGUUGGAGAGAGGUUUCCACUUCUUACUGGCUUUGCAUUGAUACCUCUCUCCCAGAGCCUCAGUGACUCAUUUAUAAAAUGGCGAUAAAUAGUUUCCUGCCUGGUGACCUCACUGAGAUGUUGGAUCAGGAAGAAACAUACAUGAAAAGCUCUCCUAAUUUAUAAGGACUUCCUUCAAACACAGAUUUUAUUUCAUGUUUUUAUCUGAGGGUUG
ensembl:lncRNA